rnacentral:snRNA from 1 species
AGAUCUAAGAGUGAUUUGGUUGUAACAUCUGUCACCCCAGGGUUGAUUCGGCAAACCUUGCUGACUAGGAGAGUGUCCCCUUCAGAAGGGCACUCACAGCUCCUGAUAUGUCCCUCUUGAAGUCUCAUGCUUAGUCAAAGAGGGACCUUCCUGGUUGAGAGACAACAUUCUUCUGCCCAGGGUAUCCAAGUAACUGUGUUCUUGUUCUAGAAAACCAUACAUGCUCUCAGGGCCGACAAUGAACAAAUUCCUUUUCUUGAACAGUGU